rnacentral:rRNA from 1 species
CCUACGGGGGGCAGCAGUGAGGAAUAUUGGUCAAUGGCCGGAAGGCUGACCCAGCCAAGCCGCGUGAAGGACGAAGGUGCCAAGCAUUGUAAACUUCUUUUGUCAAGGGACAAAAUCAGGCUCGAGAGCCUGACCGAGGGUACUUGAAGAAAAAGCAUCGGCUAACCCCGUGCCAGCAGCCGCGGUAAGACGGGGGAUGCGAGCGUUAUCCGGAUUGAUUGGGUUAAAGGGGUGCGUAGGCGGGCUGUUAAGUCAGCGGUAAAAGCCCGGGGCUAAACCCCGGCGAGCCGUUGAAACUGGCUGUCUUGAGAUGUCGAGAGGUAUGCGGAAUGCGCAGUGUAGCGGUGAAAUGCUUAGAUAUUGCGCAGAACUCCGAUUGCGAAGGCAGCAUACCGGCGGCGAUCUGACGCUGAGGCACGAAAGCGUGGGUAUCGAACAGGAUUAGAUACCCCAGUAGUC